GGUCUCGUGGCGGAAUGGUUACGUAGCGGACUGCAAAUCCGCGUAUCCCGGUUCGAUUCCGGGCGAGACCUCCA
rnacentral:tRNA from 1 species